GCCGGUGAUGCUCGUCCUGCAGGCAGGCAUUUUCGUGGUACAACUUGGCCACUUGCUGCUCCAGCUCGUCUAUCCUCCUCUUCUGCUUCUCCAGCAGCUCCUGCUGCGUCUCGAUAAUCUUGUUCAGCUCCUUCAGUUGAUGUUCUCAGGGGCUGCACUGGGACGGGAAAUGCUAAUGUUAUGAAUCCAGAGGCACCAACAUCGCUCAUGUAAUGUGCUUUUCAACACCCAAUUCAACAGAAUGGAAAUCUCCCAGAAAGGUGAGGUGGAAGUUCCAGCCUCUGCAGGAGCACCAGAAAGGAUUUACCUACAGGCAAGGAUGGAACUGGAAGAUAAAAGGAGCUCCUUUUGUCCACCAGUGAAAACAGUGCCAAGGGAGUUCCUGCAGCACUCUGGGGGAAGCUGUCCCUGCCCAUGGCAAAUAAAGCCCCUUCCAACCCAAA